AUUUAAAUAGUGUAAAUACAACACGAUAUAUUUUCGUUAUAUAAAUAAUUAUAAUUUUUAAAUA
rnacentral:tRNA from 1 species